UAAAAGCCAAAUUGUUGAGACCAAGCAAGGAGGCACUACUGUAGAGCUCUUUGGGCCUGCCGCUUUCUCAAUCGAAAAUGGAAACUGUCAAGAUUAGCCUACUGAACGAUUCUUUCUAUCAUUAUAUAUGUAAUUUCAGGAUUUAUUUUUGUUGAUCGGAUCGCCACCACGCGCUUUCCUUACUGACCGCCAACCCAAUCUCGAUGUUUGAAAGAUGUUCUGUUCACAUACUCGUUUCACACAUAGGAACAGAUAGGCAGAAAAAACUACCCUUUCUAGAAAGAAGGAGCCUUAUUAUUUAUAUACAUGAGAAACUAGUCCAAGAACCUCCUCAGCUUCACUCAGAACGACUAACUAGGUCGAUG
rnacentral:lncRNA from 1 species